GCCUCACUUAUGGCCAUACAUAGUACAGAAUCAAUUAAGGAUGAAGCCAUCUGGGAUGAAGUUCAUCUAAGGAUGAAGAGGAGGAGAAUGAACAGGGGAAGACAGAAGGACUGCUAUGGGUAUUCCAAUUACCUUCAAGCCUUCACUACUAAGUCAUUUGAAUUGAAACUGCUAAAUAUAGAGCUUCCUUUGGGUGCAUGUUUCCAGAGUUAAGCAGGAAUGAUUUUUACCCUUAGCUGCAACUUUGACUCUGCCAGCUCACAAAACAGUGAAGGACGAGCCUGUGCACAAGGUACUCCCAGUACAUCCGAAGGCACUGCCUGUGGGGUUCUGCAGUGAAUUGUCUGCCUACAGGGAAACCUUAGGAAAAGCUUUUAACAGAUUCCUGCAAGAAGAAUUAAAUAGUUCUUCAGAGAAGAGAUGGAAGGAGAAAAAAAUAUCUUUCCAUACCCAGCACCUGC